UACGGAGGGUGCAAGCGUUACUCGGAAUCACUGGGCGUAAAGAGCACGUAGGCGGCCUUGCAAGUCAGAUGUGAAAUCCAACGGCUUAACCGUUGAACUGCAUUUGAAACUGCAAGGCUAGAGUAUGGGAGAGGUAGGUGGAAUUCUCGGUGUAGGGGUAAAAUCCGUAGAGAUCGAGAGGAAUACUCAUUGCGAAGGCGACCUGCUGGAACAUUACUGACGCUGAGGUGCGAAAGCGUGGGGAGCAAAC
rnacentral:rRNA from 2 species